ACAGAGGGGGCGAGCGUUAUUCGGAAUUAUUGGGCGUAAAGGGCGCGUAGGCGGCUUGGCAAGUGGAAGGUGAAAUCCCUCGGCUCAACCGAGGAACUGCCUUCCAGACUGCUUUGCUUGAGUCCGGGAGAGGUGAGUGGAAUUCCCAGUGUAGCGGUGAAAUGCGUAGAUAUUGGGAGGAACACCAGUGGCGAAGGCGGCUCACUGGACCGGAACUGACGCUGAGGCGCGAAAGCGUGGGGAGCAAACGGGA
rnacentral:rRNA from 1 species